UGCCAUUACCUCACCCAGUCAGUGUUGUCAACUGAAGAACACCGGAAAUAGCCAAGUAAUAUUUUGUAUAAAGUUUUUGAAAAGGUGAGGUUAGCAAAUACGUUAAUAUUUACACUUAAAAUUGAAUUUUUAUAGCUAUUAAUUUUAAUGUAUAUUGAACACGUAAAAUUGUUACUGCUUUAAAAUUACUUAAGUCUUCAAGUCGAAAUGAUACAAAAUAAACUAAACAAUUGAAUCAUAGAAAGCAUCGCAUUACCACAUUAUUCAGUAUCAAAAUUACUCAUCUUUCUUGAUAUUUUAAGUAUCUAUCAAUUUCAUUUACUGUUUUCGUUCUCCGACUUUUAGAAAGAGCCCAAUUUAGCAAGCAAAUAGCCAAGUUGGCACCACUGAACCCGGGCUAUAAGUCUUGCCCCUCUAAUUGCCUGCACCCAGACUCUGGGAUUUUGAAGUUGCAGUGUUGGAGCUGAAGUUGAAGCUAAAGUCAUAUCCCAGAACCAGACCAGACCUCAAGUGAUCUGUGUGUGGGCCGGCAGUCGGCGUUUGUCUGACGUCUGUCGACGUCUUUUGCAGCGGCUUUCCGUUGUGGGCGUCGCAGAAGGUCGUAAAACCCGAGUAUUGUGCACGCACGUCCCAAAAGGUUUUUCUCAAUGAAGUUUGGAGAGCCUGUCUACUCACAUACCCUUCCAAAAAUGGCAGCUUGGAAGUCGUAUUCUUCAUUCCAUGAAGAUAAAAUCAUUUAUUAAUGAUUGUAAUAAAAAAGCGAACCGUUCAAAAUAAACAGCUCAUAAAAUUCUA